GGCUGACUGGAAGGGCCAGAGUGAGGAGGCAGGGUUUGGGGGCUUUGUAUCCACUGUUCUCCACGCACAGGGAGACAGGCCAGGGAUUCCAUGCUUCCUCCAAGACCUGGCCUGGGCUGCUAGACAGAGGUGGCCAUGAUUAGCAGCUCCAGUUGACCUGGGCAUGUGACUUGGGCAGUGUCUCCCAUUGGGGAAAUGGGAUCUUGGUUCUGGCUCCACGGUCAGGAAAGCUGCCUUCGCCCAGGGUCCCCUUCUUGCCGCUGGGAGGUUCUGCUGGGCCCAGCCUCAGUCCUCACCAUGUUCUUCUUGCUGGAUUGGCAGGGGCCUUCUUAAUGGAUUCUCCUCCAGCUCACAUUCCAUGCUCCAGGUAGUACUGAAGGGGAGAUCUAGGGGUGGUGCAGGCCACAGAGCUGGGUUGUGGGAACAACAGCUUGAAUUACGGAAAGAAGUUUCCCCACUGAGUUAAUCUGCAGUGGCUGGAGGUGACCUUCUGGAGACGGCGAUUAAUCACGGGCCGUGGCGGGCGCCGCGCCACGCCGGGCCCUUUGGGGGAAUACUAAUUCCACUACAAGAUAAAUCAUAAUUUGAC
rnacentral:lncRNA from 1 species